GAUGAACGCUGGCGGCGUGCCUAAUACAUGCAAGUCGAGCGAACGGACGAGAAGCUUGCUUCUCUGAUGUUAGCGGCGGACGGGUGAGUAACACGUGGAUAACCUACCUAUAAGACUGGGAUAACUUCGGGAAACCGGAGCUAAUACCGGAUAAUAUUUUGAACCGCAUGGUUCAAAAGUGAAAGACGGUCUUGCUGUCACUUAUAGAUGGAUCCGCGCUGCAUUAGCUAGUUGGUAAGGUGACGGCUUACCAAGGCAACGAUGCAUAGCCGACCUGAGAGGGUGAUCGGCCACACUGGAACUGAGACACGGUCCAGACUCCUACGGGAGGCAGCAGUAGGGAAUCUUCCGCAAUGGGCGAAAGCCUGGCGGAGCAACGCCGCGUGAGUGAUGAAGGUCUUCGGAUCGUAAAACUCUGUUAUUAGGGAAGAACAUAUGUGUAAGUAACUGUGCACAUCUUGACGGUACCUAAUCAGAAAGCCACGGCUAACUACGUGCCAGCAGCCGCGGUAAUACGUAGGUGGCAAGCGUUAUCCGGAAUUAUUGGGCGUAAAGCGCGCGUAGGCGGUUUUUUAAGUCUGAUGUGAAAGCCCACGGCUCAACCGUGGAGGGUCAUUGGAAACUGGAAAACUUGAGUGCAGAAGAGGAAAGUGGAAUUCCAUGUGUAGCGGUGAAAUGCGCAGAGAUAUGGAGGAACACCAGUGGCGAAGGCGACUUUCUGGUCUGUAACUGACGCUGAUGUGCGAAAGCGUGGGGAUCAAACAGGAUUAGAUACCCUGGUAGUCCACGCCGUAAACGAUGAGUGCUAAGUGUCAGGGGGUUUCCGCCCCUUAGUGCUGCAGCUAACGCAUUAAGCACUCCGCCUGGGGAGUACGACCGCAAGGUUGAAACUCAAAGGAAUUGACGGGGACCCGCACAAGCGGUGGAGCAUGUGGUUUAAUUCGAAGCAACGCGAAGAACCUUACCAAAUCUUGACAUCCUUUGACAACUCUAGAGAUAGAGCCUUCCCCUUCGGGGGACAAAGUGACAGGUGGUGCAUGGUUGUCGUCAGCUCGUGUCGUGAGAUGUUGGGUUAAGUCCCGCAACGAGCGCAACCCUUAAGCUUAGUUGCCAUCAUUAAGUUGGGCACUCUAAGUUGACUGCCGGUGACAAACCGGAGGAAGGUGGGGAUGACGUCAAAUCAUCAUGCCCCUUAUGAUUUGGGCUACACACGUGCUACAAUGGACAAUACAAAGGGCAGCGAAACCGCGAGGUCAAGCAAAUCCCAUAAAGUUGUUCUCAGUUCGGAUUGUAGUCUGCAACUCGACUACAUGAAGCUGGAAUCGCUAGUAAUCGUAGAUCAGCAUGCUACGGUGAAUACGUUCCCGGGUCU
rnacentral:rRNA from 1 species